UACAUACUCCCUCCGUUCGGAAUUACUCGUCCAAGAAAUGAAUGUAUUUAGAUGUAUUUUAGUUGUAGAUACAUCCAUUUUUGUGAUAAGUAAUUCCGAAUGGAGGGAGUACUAC
rnacentral:pre_miRNA from 1 species